ensembl:lncRNA
UUGGCCAUAUUUUAAUUAGAUGUAUCGUGUAGUGACUAGUCAUUAAUUAAAAUUGUGUUUGGGAUACUUUGCAACUGCUUAGAACACCAACACCAAUAUUCUUCAUACUAUUAGGGUUUUGUAGAAAAAGACCCAAGUGCAGAUUAGAUGCCAGCAAGAACUUAGAAUUUAUUUUGCAAAAAGUAAAACUUAAAAGGUCCACAAAUCCAACACACAAAAGAUCCAGGUAACAAAGUAUAAAAAAAAGGGCAAAACACAAAAAAAUCCAAAUAUCCAACAAAGGCAGAGUAAAGGGAAACACAAAAAUCCAAAACUUUUCCACACGGACAGGGUAUCCACGGAAGUGAAGCAGAGAAACACUCACAGACUUGGACAGGACUCAGAGUUACCAACCAAAUUCAAUGUUACAAUCAGACAGGGGACACAGGACAGACUGAACUUAAAUACCAGAGGGGAAAGAGAUAAUUGGUGGGAAGCAAACAAGAGGCACGAGAAACUCGUGAGGAUAACAAACAGACUAAUUAACAGAACAGGUGUGGUAGAUGGUGACAGGAAAAUCCAGAUAGUGGCAGAGGGCAGGUAGGGUCGGAGUUUAAGGACAAAAACAGAAAACGUGGCAUGACAAAACAAACCCAAGAGGCACAUGGCUACCAGAGUUCUUUAACCAGCAGAGGGGAUACUAACGUAAUAACAGAUGUUAGGUGAAAAUGCACUCAAGUUACCUCAGGACUCCAGAGUUGCAUAUAAGUAUAUUUAUUCAACAACAACAACAAGCUUGUCGGGCUCACUCACGUCCUGGCAGGCCAGAGAGAGCGAGCGCUCAGACUGCAGCAGAAGAGAGAGAAGCAUAAUUAAACACAUCACACAAGAUUGAUAUAGAAAGAAGUCAGCAUUCACUGACACUAAACACUUUGUGUUGGUGAGUUGUUGAGUGUCAACCAUGUUAACUAUCACAUUAGUCAUAACAUUUUUUGGAUGCGGGGUAUCACACAACAUGUACAGGUUGCCAAUAAACACAGAUAAAGUAACAUCAUUCCUACACAAGACAUUAAGACGCUUUUCCACAAAGAAACCUUUCCACAAAUAAAACAUUCCAGAAAGUGCACCAAACCAAUCUCACAGGUGCAGUUUCUUGUAACCUGCAAUGAUUUACAGAGAUAGGAUCGCCUAACCCCACGGCCUCCCCCCUGCUCCUCUACCCCUCAGCCUCCUCUACCCCCCUGCUCCUCUACCCCUCAGCUCCUCUACCCCUCAGCUCCUCUACCCCUCAGCUCCUCUACCCCUCAGCCUCCACCUGGCUCCUUUACCCCUCUGCUCCUCCCGCCUCCUCUACCCCUCAGCCUCCUCUACCCCUCAGCCUCCCCCCGCCUCCUCUACCCCUCAGCCUCCUCUACCCCUCAGCUCCUCUACCCCUCAGCCUCCUUUACCCCUCAGCUCCUCUACCCCUCAGCCUCCCCCC